rnacentral:rRNA from 1 species
AUUGAACGCUGGCGGCAUGCUUUACACAUGCAAGUCGAACGGUAACAGGCCUUCGGGCGCUGACGAGUGGCGAACGGGUGAGUAAUGCAUCGGAACGUGCCCAGUCGUGGGGGAUAACGCAGCGAAAGCUGUGCUAAUACCGCAUACGAUCUGCGGAUGAAAGCGGGGGACCUUUCGGGCCUCGCGCGAUUGGAGCGGCCGAUGUCAGAUUAGCUAGUUGGUGGGGUAAGGGCCUACCAAGGCUACGAUCUGUAGUUGGUCUGAGAGGACGACCAGCCACACUGGGACUGAGACACGGCCCAGACUCCUACGGGAGGCAGCAGUGGGGAAGUUUUGGUACAAUGGGCGCAAGCCUGAUCCAGCAAUGCCGCGUGCAGGAAGAAGGCCUUCGGUUGGU